ensembl:lncRNA
GACACACCCACACAGGCAACUGCUAGGGGUGUAACAUUUGGAUUCAUCACUCCAUUAGACCUGUUGCAGCUGAUUUUCAGUCCAGUUCUUCAGUAAUUUAGCAUACCUCAGCCUUUUUUUCUCUAUUUGCCUUAGAGUAGAUGGAACAACUGAGGAGCCAGAUGGAUCUCUCAGGUCAUGUGUCAGGUCUUGGCUGGAUUUUUUUUCCUGUUUUAAAGUGUCUGAUCGGAGUCAGGACAAGCCGAGGAACCCUCCCUCCAGGCUUCGCUUGCCUCUGACAAAUGAGCCGUGCCUCUGAUGGAGAAGUGUAUGACCACACAACGAUGCUUUAAUGCCUACUUGCUACAAGGAGAGGGGAGGUCUAACAAGAUCAGGAACAAGACUACUGAUAUAGAAGCUGGGAAACAAUACAAGGAGCAAAGUGGACAACUAAACCAGUCCAAAGAGGCCCUGAGACCACAGAAAGUCCAGUCUUACAACAUGUGUCAUAUUGCAAAUAUUGGUAUCGAUCCCAUACCAAGUAAAUACAGGGACAGUAUUGUUGAUACCAAUAUCGAUACCGAUACUUUUAACCUAUGAAGGCAGCUUAUGUAUGAGAGAGCAGUUGUUAUGAUUUAUGACAUAAAUCAUCAUGAAUUUGCAAAUUCUGAACACAUGUUAAUGAUCACUAAAUCACUGUGAGUUUGGCUUUUCACAAUAAUUAGUUAACACAUUAAAAAACACCUUUUCAGCUUUUCAUGUAUUUUGAAAGUAGGGUUUAUUUGUUUGUUGAGACCUGAAAUGUAAAUGUGUGUGGGUCAACUUCUGUUUUUACAGUGUGCUAUAGGCUAUAAAUAAAAUAGGCCUGGCAGUCAACACAAAAAGGCUACAUACUUAACUUAGAGGAUGGAUACAAAGUAUCGAUCCACUCGUGCUAGUAUCGAGCUGAUGCAAAUAUCAGCGUUGGUAUCAAUAGUAUCAAUAUUUGGAUCAAUCUGCCCACCCCUACAGCCAGAUUGUGCUAAUGUAAGGAAACUUUUAAUUGGGAAUUCAGGACACAACACGAAAGUUCAGAUGGCAUGACAAGUUGGAUCAUGCUUUAUCAAAUGAACAAAGACCAGAAUAGUUAUAAGACAUCAGUCUCACAUAGUCCUUUUUUAACUUAAAAGUGAAACUGAUUAUUAGUAGGUGGUGAUUAAUUUUCCCAGUAAUGGAGUGUGAGGUAAAUUCUCACAUUGGGGCUUUAGAGAGUUGAUUUUAUCCAACCUUCUGAACACUCGAAUGACUCUCUGCUGACUGGAUACAGUUUUAAGGUCAUGAACCAUAAAAAAAUGGGGGGGGAAAACCCAACUGUGUUCAGUGUGUUUAAAUUUAACCGCAUCAGAAGAGAUUGAACCAGUGCUGUGAUUGGUCCAACAGGAAGAGCAAAGCUUGCUGGAUCUUAAAGUGUUAAAUUAUAGAUAUUUAAAGAUAUUUUUACUCUCGUGUUUUCCGGUGUGUUGGUGUAAAUCAGCUCUAAUACUAUUGAUUUUAUUAACAAAAAUGUUUCACUUUACGUUAAUAAAGUGCUUCAAAUAUUAAUACUUACAAACAUUCUGUAUGUUUACCUUUAAAUGAACAAAGAGUCGACUAGGUGCUUAGAUGUUAG